GAUGAACGCUGGCGGCGUGCCUAAUACAUGCAAGUCGAGCGAACGGACGAGAAGCUUGCUUUUCUGAUGUUAGCGGCGGACGGGUGAGUAACACGUGGAUAACCUACCUAUAAGACUGGGAUAACUUCGGGAAACCGGAGCUAAUACCGGAUAAUAUUUUGAACCGCAUGGUUCAAAAGUGAAAGACGGUCUUGCUGUCACUUAUAGAUGGAUCCGCGCUGCAUUAGCUAGUUGGUAAGGUAACGGCUUACCAAGGCAACGAUGCAUAGCCGACCUGAGAGGGUGAUCGGCCACACUGGAACUGAGACACGGUCCAGACUCCUACGGGAGGCAGCAGUAGGAAAUCUUCCGCAAUGGGCGAAAGCCUGACGGAGCAACGCCGCGUGAGUGAUGAAGGUCUUCGGAUCGUAAAACUCUGUUAUUAGGGAAGAACAUAUGUGUAAGUAACUGUGCACAUCUUGACGGUACCUAAUCAGAAAGCCACGGCUAACUACG
rnacentral:rRNA from 1 species